GACGAACGCUGGCGGCGUGCUUAACACAUGCAAGUCGAACGCUGAAGCUCAGCUUUUGUUGGGUGGAUGAGUGGCGAACGGGUGAGUAACACGUGAGUAACCUGCCCCCUUCUUUGGGAUAACGCCCGGAAACGGGUGCUAAUACUGGAUAUUCACUGGUCUUCGCAUGGGGGUUGGUGGAAAGGGUUUUUCUGGUGGGGGAUGGGCUCGCGGCCUAUCAGCUUGUUGGUGGGGUGAUGGCCUACCAAGGCUUUGACGGGUAGCCGGCCUGAGAGGGUGACCGGUCACAUUGGGACUGAGAUACGGCCCAGACUGCUACGGGAGGCGGCAGUGGGGAAUAUUGCACAAUGGGCGCAAGCCUGAUGCAGCGACGCCGCGUGAGGGAUGGAGGCCUUCGGGUUGUGAACCUCUUUCGCUCAUGGUCAAGCCGCAACAAUGGUUGUGGUGAGGGUAGUGGGUAAAGAAGCGCCGGCUAACUACGUG
rnacentral:rRNA from 1 species